ACAUGGAUUACCCCAAUCGAGGUUUUAAUGAAUUGAAAUACAGCGAUGCAUUAACUCCUACUUAUUCAGAGGGGUCAAUUCCAUCUUAACUCACACACUGAUUUCACAAGUACUUGACAGUAUUCAUAAAUCUUUUAUCACUAAAUUAAAAAUUCAGAUAGUCUGACACCAAAGCACAAUGAGUUACUUGCAAGUCACCGUGAUGA
rnacentral:lncRNA from 1 species